GACGAACGCUGGCGGCGUGCUUAACACAUGCAAGUCGAACGGAAAGGCCCUGCUUUUGUGGGGCGCUCGAGUGGCGAACGGGUGAGUAACACGUGAGUAACCUGCCCCUGUCUUUGGGAUAACUUCAGGAAACUGGGGCUAAUACCGGAUAGGAGCUCCUGUUGCAUGGUGGGGGUUGGAAAGUUUCGGCGGUUGGGGAUGGACUCGCGGCUUACCGGCUUGUUGGUGGGGUGGUGGCUUUCCAAGGCUUUGACGGGUAGCCGGCCUGGGAGGGUGAACGGCCACAUUGGGACUGAGAUACGGCCCAGACGCCUACGGGAGGCAGCAGUGGGGAAUAUUGCACAAUGGGCGGAAGCCUGAUGCAGCAACGCCGCGUGCGGGAUAACGGCCUUCGGGUUAUAAACCGCUUUCGCCUGUGACGAAGCGUGAGUGACGGUAAUGGGUAAAGAAGCACCGGCUAACUACGUG
rnacentral:rRNA from 1 species